ACUAAUGUUUUUGCUAGUGAUGGUUUGUAGGUUCUGCUGCAGACACAAGAUGUUAUUUUUUGGGUAGACUCAUCAGUCUACUGUUCUCUGUGGUAUUACUAAUACCUGUGGUACUCUUGACUGCAUGUAUCCCUUAUCUGAGAGAGCUUUUUAUCUUUAAAGAUGUCAACUGAAGCAAUUCCCACUACAUAUGCUACAUAUGGUUUCCCCAGUGGUGCUACCAGUGCUCUAGCAAGAGUACCUACUCUUAACUCAUUAUCUGUGACAUAAGUGAGUGACGCAUCUUCUCUUAACAGACCUAGCUUAAAGUUUCGCUUCUGUCAGUCUUUCCUGGGACUUGUGGUUUAUUUUGUACUCUCUUUUAUUAAUAAAAAAUUAGGAGUGUAGGUACGUUUUUCAGGUCUCCUUUGUACAAACAGAGAGAAAUGCUACAGUUGAACACAAAUGGUUUAGAAAAUUCCAGAGAAGAACGCCAUUUUUUACAAGGUCAAAUUUGUCAAAAAAAUAGAUUUGAAAAUACAGACACAUUCACAGCUAUCUUGCUGUAAGAAAUAAAAUCACAGCCAAAUAUAUCAAUACCCAGAUAAUAAGAGUGGUCUAUGUUUCUUAGCUGAAAUAAAGACAAGUUAAUAAAAUGAACAUAAGCCUUAAAUAUCCAUUACCAGACUAGCAGCUCUCUUUUUCAUAUUUGGACUGAAUGUUGGAUAUAGGAAUGGUUAUGUACUAAAGGGAAAAAAUAGCAGCUAAACAACCUUUGCCAGUAUGAAUAACUUGCUUUUUUUUGUUGAAUUCAGAUGAAAAAUAUUACAGCACAUCUAGUAGUGGAGAUCAGACAAAUGAUAUAAGAACAAUAAAAAUGCCUGAGGGACAGAAGGUGUUGAAGAAAGAUAUAGUUGAGUAUCACUAUCCACACAGGGGCACACAAACAUUGCCAAAGAAUUUGGCCUCUGAGUGCCAGUUUAUAGAUUAGGAACAGUGCUGGGCCAAGAGCAAAAUGCUCUGAGGGACAUCAGAGCUGAGCUUAUGCUUUGUAGGAAAUGAAUCCCACAACAGCCCAAGGUCAGAAUCUGGUCACCACUCUGCAAAUUACAACGAGACAAGACUAAUAUAAGCAGUGUAGGAAAAAGACAGUACUUUAAAUCUCCCUAUUAGACUCCUAUGUUGCAGUGAUGACCGAAAGAACACAAAGAAGUGCAUAAAAAAUUGAGGUAUUUUAAAUAUUAUCUGUUUUCUUGGGCAUAUAAUUCUGAAAUAAUUCAUAGCAGAUUUAAAGGAGGUAUGGACUUUGUAUGCAAAAGAGAACUAAUUGAAAGCUUACACAAUGCAGAUUUCUAAGUGUAGUUAUUGUCCUAAUCAAAUCAAAGCAAAAUGGCAGUCAAAAACAUUUGACCAAAAUUUAGAAGGUAUAAAAAAAUGAUCAGCGAUAAAGUUUACAAAUUAUUACUUCAAUAUUUCAGCUUGAGGAAGCAAAAAUAAAAGUGUAACUAUAUGAUAAGUGUUUUUAAUACUACUUAAUGUAAGUUGCACUCUGAAUCUGGGGACCUUCUUAAACAGGUGUUUACACUUCGCAGGAAACAUGGAAGUGUGUGUUGAACAGUAGAUGUUGGUGACUGUUGUGAAGAUACAAAAUACAACUCAGUCAUUGUGAAUCUGUAGAAUAUGUCAGAAAUCUUGUUUGACAGGGUUUAAAAUGAAGGAGGAAAGUCUGAGAAAACAGACAAGGGAGUGAAACCCAAGAAGCAAAGGGGUUGUAGGGAGUGAGGCAGUGAUAGAAUGCACAAGAAGAUGCUCUCUCCUGGGAGAGAGCCGAGGUGCUGGCAGUUGACAGGCCAAGAUGAAGGGCUGUGUUAUAUGCCUGACAACAGUGGAAAAUGAACACAAGCAAGCUAGAGGAACAAAAGUUUUUAAAAUAAUGCUUUAGUGUAUAAGGCCUGAAGAGAGCAAGUUGCUAUAAAGCUAAAUACAAAUAAAAGUGUGAAGUUAAUGAAAGGCUCACUAGGAAUCAAAGCAAUGGCUGUGAUUCUCCAGAUCUCGGUUCACCAAGCAGUCAGACUGUCUUUUGCAGGGCUGCAACAGGCAGGACAGUGGGGGAAUUCUCAUCCAGUACAGGAUGAGAUUUAGGUACGGUGCAGGUUGCUAUGUCUCCUCCUAUGUGAUCACAAAAAUCCUCUUUCUCAAUCUGCUUUAAGAUAAAAAUGACACAUUGCGAAGUCAAAAGAGCUGCAAUUCCUGUAGGAAGUCUCAUUACAAAUAUGAGACUCAAUGGUUAAAAUAGGAUCAAAUAAAUUAAGAAGUAUUAUGCAAUUUACCUCUAGUUAUGGAGGAGGAUUUUCUGCAGCUUUCAUGUUAGUUACAUUCUGCACUUGAAAAUGCUGCAUUAUUUAUUGUAUGCAUAAAAGUUGAUUCUCUAAGGUCUGUGAAGAGCUUUUUUAUUAAAAAGAAGUGGCAGCAUAUUCUGUUUCUUGAUAUCACACCAACAGCAAACACUAGAGUCAUGAGUGCUGCUACCUCCCUUGAUUUGUAUCAAGAGUAUAUUUAAAAUUUACAUACUUUUUUUUUUUUUUCAGAGAAUCAUGGUUCUAAUAGACUGUGGGAUAUUUAAAAUGUGAAAGAUGACAGGUUGAUCAGUUUUUCUUUGUACAACUUUUAAAGCUAAGAAUGUAACAUAAAUAAUACAGCAUGUUAUUUUCAACCGGUGAAGAAACAGAACAGCAGUUACCUCAGAACAUCAAGUCCUGUUUACCAAGAUAUUUUAAAGAAACUAUGCUACUGUGGUGAGAGUAUUGCAUACAUAUUCAAACUGUGCAUUUAUUAUACUCAGUAAUUAAAUUCAAAUUAUUAUGAGCUAUUUGGCAUUCUGUUUGACAUGGGAAAUACCACAGUUUCUGGCUUUAGCAGUUAAGUGGCUUGUGUUUCUAAUGAAGAGAGAUCUUGCAGUAUGGUAAACUAUCAUUAUCAGCAAGAUACGGUUUAAGCCCUGCUGUAACUUACAUGUCUGCUCUUUUUUUCUCUCUGCUUAUGUUCUACUUCUUUCUACUCAUGUAUCAAUUAUAGACAUUUUCAGGUCACUUUCAGUUCAUUUUUUUAAACAUUGUAAUUUUCAAAGAAGCAAUGAAAUAUGAAUGCAAUAGGAACAUGUGAUGAGUAAUACGAAACAUCUGUUUGGUUUCCUUUUUGCUAAACUCAGUGGCAGCCAGCUCACGGAUUAGAUAUUGGUUAUAGUCCCCCACAGUAUCUCAGAAAUCUGCAAACUAUGUUCCAGUUCCAUAUGCAUUGGUAGUCCUCGAGUGAGUCUAAUAAAGGCAGGAGAACUGGAAGAUGUGAUGGUGAUACAAGGCAGUUGCCAGUGAGAUGAAAAAGCCUGCCUGGAAACAGCUGAAGCAUAGAUCUGGAAAAAGGAAUGAGAGAUUUCAAAAUAGGCAGAAAUUAAAAUAGGAAGCUGAAAAAGAGGUUACACUGCAAAAUGCACUGUGUUUAUCUACCUCUGUUUAUCUCCUCUAUAGUAAUCAUAAUAGUGUUAUGUACUUUUAAACAUUUCAUUUGUAGUAAUGCCUGAAGCUUUUAAAUGACAUUUGAGUUGUCAAAAUUCAACUGAUUAAACAUGUGGACUAUUUUCCAGGGCAUUAUAAGAUAACAGAUGACAUUUAAGAGUUCACUAAUACUUAAAACCUCUGUACAGUGUAGUUCGGAAUCAUUGUUUUCAUUACCUACAUUAAGAAAUUGAGACACACAGUAAUGUAAUCAGUUGUUCAAGGUAUCUAGAAGUAAAGCAGGGGAGAGGUGUUGAAGCUUAGUCCUGUCUUUGACACACUAGCCCACACUGAGAAAAUAUUUGUUCUGACUGGACUUUUUUAUCUGGAACAUCUUACUAAAAAUUCAUCAGGAUAGCUACUAUUUUGAAAAUGUCUGAAAUGAUGAUGAAAAUGAUUACCAUUUCCUUGUGGGAAGGAAUCCUGCAUAGAUUCAUGCUGACAAGUUUGCCAUUGUGCUAAUAACUCCCUGCUUGUGCUCAAUGUUUACAUUAUUUUCUAAAACUACUGAAUCACUUAAAUCACAGGAACUAAACCAGCUUUCAUUUUCUCCUUGUAAAAAUAAUCACAGGGUUUCAAGAGUACAAGAAACAGAGGGCUGUGAUCCUUGUCCCAAAGGAAAUGUUUUUUUCUUCCUAUGUUUGUGCUCUCCAGUUUUGUACUUUCUAUACUUGAAAAUUAUUCCUGAAAGAAUCUUUCCUAGGAACUAUAUGCUGGCUUGGUUCCCUUGGACUCAAUGUGCACUUAAGUGUGGGAUGUAUUAGGUACCUUUCUAGAGUCCAUCUCCAACUAUGAACCCGUGUAGAAUAGCUGUAUGGGAUAUUUCCUCACAUACAGAAUGCUUAAGACAGCUCCUGGCUGCUUGGCAGAUUCUAGCAGCACCAUGGAGGAGGCACAGCCUCUGUGCCACUUUCUCAUUCCCACAGCAGUGCAACAUUGAUGGACACACAUUGUAUCUUGCUUGAGCAGAAAAAGAGGAGUAAGAAGUGAUUUAGGCAUUGGCUUGCUUGUAUGUCAGCAAUGGUGGUAACAUUCUGUACGUGAGGAAAUAUCCCAUACAGCUGUUCUACAUGGGUUCAUAGUUAGACCCACUUAUUCCCUAUAAAGAAUGUUUCUUUAACCUGCUUUGUAAGUGGAUUACACUCAAACAGAAAACCACAAAUAUACAGAAGCACAGGUUUGCUUUCAAACGGAGUCAGUGACAAAGAGUUGUUCUACUUUACCACCAAACUUGUUUUACAAAUGCUUUCUGAUAUAAACAGGUACUAAAACUAAACUUUCAGGGAGCAUGAAUGCAACACAAACUAGUGAAGAACAGCUGAUAAGAGUAAACAAACUAAUGAUCCAAUUUGAUACUUCUGUUUUACCAAAAAAAGUAUAAAGCAGGGAAAAAAAAAAAAAAAAAGUCCACAUAAAGAAGUGCUAGAACAUUGGUUUGCUUUAAGAAUGUAUUUUAUAUCUUGGGAUUCAUCUUUCAUAUCAGAUGUAGGAUGUGCUGUAUGGUGAUAAGAGAAGUAAAUAUGAUCAGGGUCAUAGUAAGAUGGGCUGGCACUACGCUCCUCCCUUAGUUGUUCUAGUCCCUGAGGAACUGUUAGGAUCCUCUUGAUUAUCCAGAGUGAUGAUUCCUUGGAGUAUACUUAAAGGAGAGACCACAGUGUACCUUAGAGCCACUCCCAAUUGUCCAAUCCAUGUUCACAUUCCAUUACAAUGAACUCUGGUAAAACAAUGUUUGCACUGUCUUAUUACUAUCUAGUGUAUUAGACCAUAGUAAAAACAUGGCUUAAUAUAAAAUAUAUCACAUUACAGUGAAUGAUCACUUGGCAGGAAUGGUUAUUUUAAAACUUUAUCUAAGGCCUUUAAACUAAGCUUUCACCAUCUGUUCUACCUUCUAAUUAUACAUGCAAAGGAACAUAAUUCACAAGUGUAUCAUAAAAGUGGAUAAUUGAUUAAAUGAUAUUGCUGCACGUACUGUGUUUGGUUAUUCAGUGCCUCUGUUUGGCUUUUUAGCUCAUAAAUCACUCUGAAUACAUUGUACAGUGACAUUUUCUUGGCAAACAGACAAGAGAUGUACUCUCUCGCACUUGAGGGGGGGUAAUGGACUGAUGAUAAUGAUGAAUGGAAAGACAAUACCAGAGAGGUCCAAAAAGUAACAUCAAGUAUGCAUGCUCCACUUCUUUGAAGAAGUUGGACCAACCUGCUCUUUGCAGUACUUCAGAACAUGGACUCACUUGGCAACUGUCUUAAAUAAAGAGCAAAGAAACUGCUUGCUUAAAUGGCACGUGACAGUCUGCAUAUACCCUUUUGCAUGAUGUUCCGAUAUCUGUGCAUUGCUGUGAAUGGAAAUCCUGGAGCUUUGUUUUGCUAAGUCAUCCAAGUGCUUAUAUUACUUUCAAAAAUACUACAAUGAUUUUGAUUUCUAUUACAUGCUAAGUAAGUUCAACUUGUCUAGGGCCUAAGGGUGGAAAAAAAAGCCUAUAGGCUUGGAAAAAAAAAAAGCAAGAGCCUCAAUAAGUAGAAAGAAAAAUUACUUGUAAUAUGUUACCACAAGUAGGAAAUUACCUGAGUUCACAGAUUUCAAAUAAUAGUAAAACAUAAAUAAUAGUGUAGCCUUUGCAAUACUUAAUUAUCUUAAAACUAGCCAAUUUUGGUGAACCCACAGAAAACUCUGGUUGGAAACUGACACCUGAGCUUGAGGUCUGUUUUGAUGAGAGCUUGCUUAGGCAAGACAAAGUAGAAAUCUGAAGUGCCUUAUACAAUGCCUUAGGAAAAUUGUAGAUUCCCUUCAGAUUCAUUUUGAAGAUGCACUUAGUACAAACUCCACUUCCAUUUCAUUUUCAGUGUUUCUGUGGUAACUUUUCUACAGUAAUAUAUUUUAUGUACAUUUUGUUACAUAUGAUAUGUCUUAAGUGUGUACAUAAAACACACUGAACAAGAAUGCAUUUGUCUGAAUGAAUUAUAGAAAACACUUAUUAAAUCUGUUUUGAAAGAUGCUUAAAAUUAAGCAGAAGAAUAUUACAUUCUUAAAUUUUAGCAUUCUAUCCAUUUAGCAGUCUCCCCAUUUAUGCUGUAGACUCUGUGAUUCCAAAUAGGUUUUAGCUUUCUCCCAAACAGCUCUUCUCAAUUUUUUUUUAUUUUUUUUUUUUUUACCUUUGUCCCCUAACUUAAGCAGAUAAGGAAAGUUCUUUGUGACAUUAAUGUAUAUUUAAUCGAGAUCAUUACACUGGUAGUUUGGCCUCAAUCUUCUUCCAAGGACUAUAGUACACACCCCAGUCAUGUCCUGUCAUGUCUUUUGUUCUUUCUCUAAUGUCUCCUUCCCUCAUUCUGACAGGUAAUUUAGAAAGCCUGCCACUUAUCUUACUUGCAUCUCAUUCCACUGGACGUGAAUGAAUUGAAAGAUGGAAUAUAGUGGAACAAAACAAUCUGUAGUACGUUUGAGUAUUUUAAUAAAUAUUUUAAAAUAUUUUUGUUGUCUUCACAAGGAUUUCCCAAGUGUUAGCAGUGCAGGCCAGACAGCACACUACAGUGAUUUUGCCAGGAAAUAAUAUGUGGUUAUUUCCUUAAAAGAUUUUUUUUUAAACAUCAAUAAACGAUACUUUCCUCUUGUGCUAUUAAAUAAAAAAAAGCAAUUCAUGUUAUUGUUUGCUUGGAGGUAAAAAUAAAUGUAUGAUGGAAUGUUAAAAAGCAAACAUGAAAUGUUAGGGAAGAUUAAAACCCCUGCUAAAUCCCUAGAUGAGUACAUAACACACUCAGCCAUAAUCUGCAAUGAUGUAUUGCUCAGAAGAGCAGACAAAUCAGGCAGAUGUCAAAAUCAGCACCUACAUACAUCAAUAAAGCCCAUAAAUCAGACAGUAAUGCUUCAUGUUAACAUGUAUGGACACAAGUAAAGUCUUAUUUACUUCACAGGUCUGAGCCAGGGACAUACAAGGAGAGGGGAGGUCCAAGUACACAUUGUAAAUAGUAGGAUUAGAGUCUUAGGACUGGAAUCAAAGCCACUUGAAUCAGUGGGACUUCUUUUGCUGACUUACAGGGGACUGUUAAUUGGCCACUGUCCAUCUUUUUAAAGAUUUAUUUUAUAUUGGAUUUUUCUUCCUUCCUUUAUAUUGUCUUUUUGCUCAUUUGUUUUUUAAACUUUAGUGGAAAGUAAUUCUUACACUAGAAUCAGAGUUUAACUUCAAAACCACAUUUUCCUCCUAAGUUUGAAACUGCGAAAAGGAAAAAAAAAAUCCUUAUUAUACUCAACCUUUAAAAACCUCAGGAGAGCCAGAAAAUAAAUCCCCAAGGGUUCACUAUUUUUAAAAAUAGAUUAAUUCUUUCUCUAAAGCAAUGAUUUCAUAUGGCACAUUUUGAGUUUUUCUGUAUCCACGGAUCAGUCUUUUUUUACAUUCCAAUAACGAACAACCACAGAGAUACUGACUCAGCUUGACAAUGUUUAUAGUAGAUGUUAUUUAAACUAUAAUAUAAAUGACUUUGAGAUAUGAAGUCAGUUGUAUAAAGACUCUAAGUGUCUCUCUCUGAUCAAUGAUCAGAAAUUGUUCACUAGAUAACUGUAAUUCAUAUGGCGAUCUGCAGAGCAAAGCCAUUUUGGACAGCUGCCCAAAUUCACUUCAUCACAUGGUUAAGUUUAAUUAGACUUUGUAGAGUGACAGAUUACAAAACCAAAAGGGGCUAUUGGGAUCAUCCAUGCUGACUUCCUUUGCAGCUCAGGCCAGUGACCUUUACGGAAUAAAUUGCCAUUCCGAGAACAAAGGUAUUUUCAGCCAGGUAUCCACUUUUGUUGUAAAAACUCUGGUGAUGCGUUGUAACCCUUAGUACUGUUGACCCAGUGUUUUCUAGCUACCCUUGUUCAAAUAUCUUCCUUGCCCAAAGCUUUAUACCAGCUAAAAUCAGCCCCUGGGCUCGUUCUGCUGCCAGGGCCCUGGAGAGGCCCCUGGUCCCUGCUGCUGACCCCUGGGGCCUGGCCUGACUUGGCUCUGAAUGGGGAACCAACUGCUCCCUCUGUCCUUCCAGCAAAACUGUGCCCAUCUGUGGGAGCCAAGUGGCUCCACAAGACACCUAACCAGGUCGCCUCUUAAACAAAGUCCCUGCCUGGGGACAUUGUGGUGUGCAUAGAGCCUAGGAAGGUGGUGGGCCAUUGCAGUUGGAUUUUAGGACAUCUGAAUUGCCUUUAAUCAGUCAGCAACUUACACAAGUACGUCCCCAAAUAGGGAAUGUAAGUCUACUUUGUAAGUCAGAUUGUCAGUUAAAUUUAAAUGAGUACAUAAGGCACGCAAGGGUAGAAAUAGUCACAUUGCCAUGGGUACUAAAAUGAACGAUCAAGUCAUCGCUAAGAAAUGGCUUUCAAUGGCAACCAGUGCAGAUAUUUGGAAAUCUAACGGUGUGCACUUCAGGUCAUGUAAUAAGCAUGCUUGAGAGCUCCCUUUCUGACUUGCCAAAAUUAAAACCAAGACUGCUUUCCAUGCCUUGAUUCUGCCUUUGGAAGUAUAUAUGCUCAUAAUUAAUUCUAGAACAUAUUUAUUUUUAGGCAGAUGUGAUCUAUAAAAACAGAAUGAAUCAAUUUGUAAAAAAGAGAACAAGAAAAUAAGUUCGCAGUUCAAGUGAGAGAACAGUAUUUCUGUUGGUGGUCUGGUAUUUGUUUGUUUUGCCAAUGGAAGAAGUGAGUAAUAGCACAGAGUUAUUUACUUUGCAUGCUUGUACUUACCCAUACUUUCAGAAUUUCUAACAUUCAAAUUUUAAAUGAUCAUGGCCACAAGACCGGUAUAUGUACUUGAGCCUGAUGAGCAUUUAUACUCUUCAGCUGAUGACAACAAAACUCAGCUGUAGCUUAAAGUUCUAUGAGGGUCAUACUGACCACUUUCUGUGUUUUAUAAUAUGUGAAUAACCUUCUUAGACUAAUACUAAUUAACUUUGUAUGGUUUCUGCUGUAAAUUAUUUUCUGAGCCACUUAGGACUUUUCUCAGCCAAUUGCAUAUAUGGCAAAAGGUUAAUUGUUUGUCAAAGACAAAGAAAAGGGCUUCUCUGUGACUCCCAGAAGAAAUUAAGAAAAUAAUGAAAUCUCUCUAUGGGAAUUAAUCUACUUCAUCUGUGAUGUACCAACUGCAAAACUUCUAUGAUAUUCAAAUAUAUAUUUUCAAGAGCAGUGUUUGACAAAAACAGAGUGCAUAUUUCUAUAAAACAAUGGCAUGGAUUUCUGCAUUGUUCACAAACCUGGCUAGCAACAGAUGCAAUAAUUUAGGUUUGACUGUUUUGAGAAGAAUUAUAUCAUGGAUAUAUAAAAAAUACAUGUCUUUCUUAUGCUGAUCAAGGCAUGCUGGGUUGUUCAAAUUAGCCUACAGAGUGAAGGAAAAUUGUACUUGUAUACAUGGCAAACACUAUCAGUCAAACAGGGAUUGCAUAAUUAUUGUGGCAUGAAACAUUUAUGUGGCAUAUCAGUACCAGAAAAGAAGGGAAUUGACAAUGGCAUCCAACAACUGACAAAAGAACCCGUAUCUGAUACCACACAAUAAUGUAGUUUUCACAGCUUAUUUAGAGCUGAUUUAUGAUGCAGAGCUUAUAGAAAUGCCCUCAUUUUAAUUUUUUUAAAGACAUUUGUAAUGUUUUGUCUCUCUUGUUUCUUUCUGAGUUCCUUAUGAAAAGACUCAUCUACAGAGAUGUUGGUUGAAGAAUCCUAAAAGUAAAUAAAAUUAUUUCAAAAAUUGUGUAAAAAAGUUUUUAAAAGUAAAGAAAUAAUGUGACCUUGUCAGAAAAUUAUUUAUUAAUUGUUCAUGCAAAUUACUUGCUUACUUAAGAAACAGUUUCCUUCUUCCUCAUGCUACUAUUGGGCCUUAUACUUCGUCCUUUGCUUUGUCUUCUAUAGUUGGCUGUGUAAGCAAAGCUGAAAUCAAUCAGCUUUGAUGAGACUUAUGUGUAAAGAUCUCACAUGUGGAGAAAUAAGGCAGUUUUUGCAAUCCAGAAUUGUAGAACGUAAUGGUUUUUUGUUAUGUGUGUACUUAUACACACUGUUCCAUAAAAAAUAACUAACAUUUUGCAAACCUCAGUCCAAAAGCUCUGAAGUAUAAUAAAAUGUAGGAAAAAAAAUGUUUUAAAAAACAUAUAGGGGCAGGGUAAUAAAAUAAAAAGCUAGAAAGUUAGUGUGUGAGAGACCUAAUGGUGGAAGUAAGGUGAAGGUUAAAAACUGUGCUUUUGGUGCUAAAAGUUGUGCUGAUUAUUUCACUUUGCGUAGUUGAAAUGGUUGAGUAGGUUAAAACCUGGGACCUGAGUGUCAUUUAAAGUGCAGCAUACAUUUAUCUUGUAUAACGUAGCACUACUUUACUUUCUAGGUCAUCUGUGUAUAAUCACGUCCUGGGUGAAAUGUCAACUUCAUUGAAUUCAGUGGGUGUUAUCUCCUUGCUUUAAAGAAGGGCCAGACUUCAUGCUUAUAUGUGUUUACUUCUUUACUAAUGCUGACCAAGCAUGAGAAGCAGUUAGUAACAGUAAAAUCCUCUUGCUGUCUUCACAGUUACUAUUUCCAGCUGCUGUAGGUUCUCUAAAUUGGCAAACAAGGUAUUUCCUUGCAGGGCAGGCCAGAUCUUCCUCCCCUUACCAGCAGCAGUAGAAUCAGUAAUACCAGCAACCAGCAGAACUUCCAUUGCUUCUAAAGUUUCUUAACAGGCUGACUUCAAACUAGGAAGAAAGAGCACAACUGCCAUUAACAUGAAUCAGAGAUGCUGAAAUAUUAGAAGACGUUUUUGCGAGAGCCACAACAAAGAUUCAACACCCAAAAACCUGACUUGGGAUGAAAGACAAGAAGCUCUGAAGCUCUAUCUAUUAAUAGUUAUUUUAUUCAAUAAAAAACGGAUAUUAAAUUAAUUAUUUCUACUGGUAUUCCUAUGAGAGAAAAUUUCUGAUGAUAAAGUCCUCUUUAUCUGAUAAAGAUAAAAGAAGAUUUGGUAGCUGUACUCAGAUUAGGUAAUUCAUGCAUAUUUUACAAGGAAAAUCUGGGAAAGCAAAACAGCAGGUGCAUUUUUCACUGCUUCAAUAUUUAAAACUGAAGGCUUUUUUACUGUUUUGGUUUUAUUUUUGUGGGGUUUUUUGGUGUUAUUUGGCUGUUUGGUGGUUGGUGUUUUUUGUGUUUGGGUUUUUUUUGGUGCUUUAAUAAAGUACAGUAAAUUCAGAAAGUUAUAGGAUUGAUUAUGUGCAUGUUUGUGUGAAACUGUAUGCUAUAUGAUGCAUGUGUCAGGUGACAACAGGUGACAAUAAUCCUCCUUUCUUACCUUUAGAAUCCAUGACUGAUUCAUUUUUUAUUGUGUAAUUUGCAAUAGCAUCUAGAGUAGGCAAACUUCGAUUUUUGGGUAUUAUCCUGUUAGACAUUAAACUCAUGUAAUGAAAACACUGCUCUGGUUCUAGAGGUUUGUCAAUUCAGAUAAUUAGUAAUGAACACGCUCUUUGCUUCAGUUAAAUAUAUUAACAGUAACUCUUACAUAUGUCUGGAAGGGUUAUCUGUGGAGAACGAGGGUGGGAGUUUGCUCAUCUAUAGCCACAGUAGUUCUGGCAGACAUGAAGAGUUCUUGCAGGAAGAUAAAGUGUGUGCUUGCAUUAGAACACAGGAGUCAAACUGACUCCAAACUGCUUCUUCACUCAGGUUCAUUAGAUAUUGGUCUCACAACGUAGCCUAGUAACUUUUCUUUGAUUUACUUAAACAGCCCAAGUUUUUAAAACUCACAAAUGAUUUUCAGUAAUGUUGGCUCUGUCUACAGAAGGAAGAUAGAUUAAAUAUAAUAUAAUUAUAUUUAAUAAAUAUAUACAUAUCAUAUUUAAUUUAUGGUUUGAAGUAUUCCAGCUAUUUGGAUACUAGGCUACUGGUAAACUGGUGUGACUUGUACUCAACUGCCUGCAACUACAGACUGGAUUAACGAAGCCUGUUACUCCUAAAAUCCAUAGACCAUUUAAAUAUUUUUCCAGAAGUGAAAAUAUACUAAACUUCUGUGAACUCUCCCUCACUAUCCAGCUUUAAACUUAGUUACUGUAACAUGUGAAUGAAGUUCUAUACUUAUUUUCAGAAACCUUGACUUUAGAAAAAAAGGACACUUGACUGAUUUACAUUCAAAAGCAAACUGAAAACCAUGGAUUUCAUAAUGUUCAUACUGGAUUAGGUUAACUGAUCAUGUUAAUCACACUGAGCCCUUAGGCAAUGUUUAUUAGAGUAUAAACCUGCUUAAUUUGUUUUCUGUAUUUUUUUUUUCCUAGUGAAUUGAGAUGUUACUUUUGCAGAUCUUCAAAUAUCAUCUUAGCAAUUUGCAAAUUAAUACACUAUUAGGUGGUAAUUUUGUAGUUUUUUUGUUUUUCGUUUUUUGUUUUGUUUUUAUUUUAGAAUGAUGUUGUCUUAUGGUUUUGGUAGCAUGAAGAAAGCAGUAAAAUUCAUCAAGGGUGAAACUCAUUCCUGGAAGAAAGCCAAAAAAGGGAAUUUGUUCCAAUUAUGUUGUGCUUGAGACGUGCUAUGACGUGGUUUUAUUGAAAAAAUUAUGGGACUAAGAUUCUUGAAGAAUUAUUCUCAAAUGAUUUCUGGUAUGCUGUGCUGAUAUCACUGUAAUAUCAGAACAUCUCAGGAAAUCAAUUAAUUUACAAUCUGUAGGACUCAUGAGAAACAAUUAUUUUCCUAGACAGAAUUGAGUGAGAUUAAAAAGUUUUCCCAAGGUCAUGCAAAAAGUUACUACUGAGGUAGGCACUCACCAGAGCCAAAAGGAACUAAAAUUUUUAUUCUAUUAAUUCAGAUGCUUCUUUGUGGAAUACAGAAUGAGAGCAAUUGAGAAUUCCUAUGAAAAGUUUUUGAAAAUUUGCAUCUGGAUAAAAGCAUUGUGCUUUGUUAAAUAAUCUUGACUUUUGAACUUUUUUAGUACUUAAACUAACAAACCCAAAAAACAACAAACCAAAAACAUAUACAAAAAAUGGGAAAAUUGUCUACUGGCAUAGAA